UAGAGUUUGAUCAUGGCUCAGGAUGAACGCUGGCGGCGUGCCUAAUACAUGCAAGUCGAACGAGGUGCUUUUGUAGCAAUACGGAAGUAUCCUAGUGGCGAACGGGUGAGUAACGCGUUGGUGACCUGCCCCAAAGUGUGGGAUAACGGUCCGAAAGGGCUGCUAAUACCGCAUGUGGUCAUCGGAAUUAGAAUCCGAUGUCUAAAGGAGUAAUCCGCUUUGGGAGGGGCCUGCGUCCCAUCAGCUAGUUGGUAGGGUAACGGCCUACCAAGGCGACGACGGGUAGGGGGCCUGAGAGGGUGGCCCCCCACAAUGGAACUGAAACACGGUCCAUACACCUACGGGUGGCAGCAGUAGGGAAUAUUGGUCAAUGGGCGAAAGCCUGAACCAGCAACGCCGCGUGUGCGAAGAAGGCCCUCGGGUCGUAAAGCACUUUUCUGGGAGAUGAGAAAGGACAGUAUCCCAGGAAUAAGUCUCGGCUAACUACGUGCCAGCAGCCGCGGUAAUA
rnacentral:rRNA from 1 species